ACUUCUACUAACAUAAGUUUAAACUUGACUAACUAAGGUC
rnacentral:sRNA from 1 species